rnacentral:rRNA from 1 species
GAUGAACGCUAGCUACAGGCUUAACACAUGCAAGUCGAGGGGGAAACGACAUCGAAAGCUUGCUUUUGAUGGGCGUCGACCGGCGCACGGGUGAGUAACGCGUAUCCAACCUGCCCACCACUUGGGGAUAACCUUGCGAAAGUAAGACUAAUACCCAAUGACGUCUCUAGAAGACAUCUGAAAGAGAUUAAAGGUUUAUCGGUGAUGGAUGGGGAUGCGUCUGAUUAGCUUGUUGGCGGGGUAACGGCCCACCAAGGCGACGAUCAGUAGGGGUUCUGAGAGGAAGGUCCCCCACAUUGGAACUGAGACACGGUCCAAACUCCUACGGGAGGCAGCAGUGAGGAAUAUUGGUCAAUGGACGAGAGUCUGAACCAGCCAAGUAGCGUGCAGGAUGACGGCCCUAUGGGUUGUAAACUGCUUUUAUAAGGGAAUAAAGUGAGUCUCGUGAGACUUUUUGCAUGUACCUUAUGAAUAAGGACCGGCUAAUUCCGUG